UACAGAGGUCUCAAGCGUUGUUCGGAUUCAUUGGGCGUAAAGGGUGCGUAGGCGGCGCGGUAAGUCGGGUGUGAAAUCAUCGGAGCUUAACUCCGAAACUGCAUUCGAUACUGCCGUGCUUGAGGACUGGAGAGGAGACUGGAAUUUACGGUGUAGCAGUGAAAUGCGUAGAUAUCGUAAGGAAGACCAGUGGCGAAGGCGAAUCUCUGGACAGUUACUGACACUGAGGCACGAAGGCCAGGGGAGCAAACGGG
rnacentral:rRNA from 1 species